GACGAACGCUGGCGGCGUGCUUAACACAUGCAAGUCGAACGGAAAGGCCCUGCUUUUGUGGGGUGCUCGAGUGGCGAACGGGUGAGUAACACGUGAGUAACCUGCCCUUGACUUUGGGAUAACUUCAGGAAACUGGGGCUAAUACCGGAUAGGAGCUCCUGCUGCAUGGUGGGGGUUGGAAAGUUUCGGCGGUUGGGGAUGGACUCGCGGCUUAUCAGCUUGUUGGUGGGGUAGUGGCUUACCAAGGCUUUGACGGGUAGCCGGCCUGAGAGUGUGACCGGCCACAUUGGGACUGAGAUACGGCCCAGACUCCUACGGGAGGCAGCAGUGGGGAAUAUUGCACAAUGGGCGGAAGCCUGAUGCAGCAACGCCGCGUGCGGGAUGACGGCCUUCGGGUUGUAAACCGCUUUCGCCUGUGACGAAGCGUGAGUGACGGUAAUGGGUAAAGAAGCACCGGCUAACUACGUG
rnacentral:rRNA from 1 species